AAAUUAGAAAGCGAAUGUUGCAUUAGUUUCGACCUAAACUCUUAGGUCUCGGCCUUCUAAUUUA
rnacentral:tRNA from 1 species